UACGGGGGGGGUAAGCGGUUGUUCGGAAUUACUGGGCGUAAAGGGCUCGUAGGCGGCCAACUAAGUCAGACGUGAAAUCCCUCAGCUUAACUGGGGAACUGCGUCUGAUACUGGAUGGCUUGGAUUCGGGAGAGGAAUGCGGAAUUCCAGGUGUAGCGGUGAAAUGACGUAGAUAUCUGGAGGAACACCGGUGGCGAAGGCGGCAUUCUGGACCGAUACUGACGCUGAGGAGCGAAAGCAUGGGGAGCGAACAGG
rnacentral:rRNA from 1 species